GCGACUGUGGCGUAAUGGUAGCGUAGGGGACUGUGGCUCCCCUGGUCGGGGUUCAAUUCCCCGCAGUCGCC
rnacentral:tRNA from 1 species